AAAAAAGAAAACUCUUUUCUAAACAAGUAGUUCCUGAUCUAUCAUUGCUUUGUUUAGAAAAUAAAUGAUCCGUAUGAACAACUUCUUGCAUUCUACGUUUGGUUAAUCUUAUUGUGACGACAUAACCAUACUGUCUGCAAGAAAACAUUGACAAACACAGCUGUGAAAUACAUGAAUGAAUAAAAUAGAGGUAUAACCUCAAUUUCAUGUGCUAUUUUCAAUUUGUUCAAAAGCAAAGUUGUAUAGAAAACAAGCCAAGUUUUAUGUGCAAUUCACCUUUGAUCUCCACCAGCAAAAUUACAAAUCAUAGAAACAGAAUAGUGAACAAACUAGAUUAUGUGCUCACUAGAACUAGAAAAACUUCUGUGAAUGACACAAUAUCAAGUGAUAUCGAAAACGUGUGUCCUAUUCAUAGACCCGGUCAUUCCUUUGAACAGUGUCGAAUUAAUAUAUGUUUCGAAUGUUCGCGUAAAAACAACAAACAAUAUGAAUGUCAUUUAAUGAGAAAUGUGUGAAGUGAGGAAGUUCAUAUCAUUCAACACCUUGGAUUCGAAAAGAAAGUUAGUGUCUAUGAAAUGUGUCGUUUCCUAUCGUUUCUAGAAGCCUGAAGGCGGAGAGGAUACAAAAUAAAGAGAAUGAGAAAAAAUUAACUCAAAAUUACGCAGGUUUGCGGAGAUUCGCUGAAUUUCAAAGAAAAUCUUGUGCAAAAACUGUACUUGUUAAUGUGCAUUCGAAAGAUAUCAGAAACAAAUGCAGGUGUAUGCAGUGGUUAAUGGUUAACCAAACAAAAUUUCAGCAAGUUCUGACCUUUUUUAUCUUAUGGGAAUCAAUAUAAUGAGGACAAACUAUGUGUUACCAUCACAUUGCAAGAAAACAAUUAUAAGGUGUCACAAUUACCAUUCAAUUAUGUAGGGUUAUUUAAUUUUUAACCAUUCUGGUACGAGGAUGGUCCUUGUUACUUAAAACAAGAAAAUAUUCAUAAAACAAGAGCAAGCUAUUCAAAAAUAUACAAGAACAAAUGG
rnacentral:misc_RNA from 1 species